ACUCGGCGGACUGCUCAGUAACACGUGGGUAAUCUACCCUCAGGUCAGGGAUAAUCCCGGGAAACUGGGGAUAAUACCUGAUAGGUGAAGAUGUCUGGAACGAUACUUCGCCCAAAGCUCCGGCGCCUGAGGAUGAGCCUGCGGCCGAUUAGGUAGUUGGCGGUGUAAAGGACCACCAAGCCCGUGAUCGGUACGGGUGUUGAGAGACAUAGCCCGGAGAUGGGGGCUGAGACACGGCCCCAGGCCCUACGGGGCGCAGCAGGCGCGAAAACUACGCAAUGCGCGAAAGCGUGACGUGGGAACUCCAAGUGCCCUGCCUUCGGGUAGGGCUUUUGUUAAGUGUAAGUAGCUAAACGAAUAAGUGCUGGGUAAGACCGGUGCCAGCCGCCGCGGUAACACCGGCAGCGCAAGUGGUGACCGCUUUUAUUGGGCCUAAAGCGUCCGUAGCCGGUUUGGUAAGUCUUUGGGUAAAUCCUCAAGCUUAACUUGAGGAAUUCCGAAGAUACUGCCAGACUUGGAGUUGAGAGAAGUCAGAGGUACCUCUGGGGUAGGGGUGAAAUCCUAUAAUCCUGGGGGGACCACCAGUGGCGAAGGCGUCUGACUAGAGCAAGCUCGACGGUAAGGGACGANAGCCAGGGGCGCGAACGGGAUUAGAUACCCCGGUAGUCCUGGCCGUANAC
rnacentral:rRNA from 1 species